AGCAGCCGCGGUAAUUCCAGCUCCAAUAGCGUAUAUUAAAGUUGUUGCAGUUAAAAAGCUCGUAGUUGAAUUUCGGGGUCAGUAGAUUGGUCAUGCCUCCGGUAUGCACUGGUCUUACUGGCUCCUCCUUCCUGAUGAACCGUAAUGCCAUUAAUUUGGUGUUGCGGGGAGACUGGACUGUUACUUUGAAAAAUUGAGUGUUUAAAGCAGGCUAACGCUUGAAUACAUUAGCAUGGAAUAAUGAAAUAGGACGUUCGAUCUUAUUUGUGGUUUCUAAGAUUGACGUAAUGAUUAAUAGGGAUAGUUGGGGCAUUAGUAUUCAAUUGUCAGAGGUGAAAUUCUUGGAUUUAUUGAAGACUAACUACUGCGAAAG
rnacentral:rRNA from 1 species